rnacentral:rRNA from 1 species
AACGAACGCUGGCGGCAUGCCUAACACAUGCAAGUCGAACGAGACCUUCGGGUCUAGUGGCGCACGGGUGCGUAACGCGUGGGAACCUGCCCUUAGGUUCGGAAUAACUCCCCGAAAGGGGUGCUAAUACCGGAUAAUGUCUUCGGACCAAAGAUUUAUCGCCUUUGGAUGGGCCCGCGUUGGAUUCGCUAGUUGGUAGGGUAAAAGCCUACCAAGGCGACGAUCCAUAGCUGGUCUGAGAGGAUGAUCAGCCACACUGGGACUGAGACACGGCCCAGACUCCGACGGGAGGCAGCAGUGGGGAAUAUUGGACAAUGGGCGAAAGCCUGAUCCAGCAAUGCCGCGUGAGUGAUGAAGGCCUUAGGGUUGUAAAGCUCUUUUACCCGGGAUGAUAAUGACAGUACCGGGAGAAUAAGCUCCGGCUAACUCCGUG